rnacentral:lncRNA from 1 species
UUUUUUUUUGGUUGUGGAAAAUCGACAGAGUUCCGGAUCAACUUCUCCAUCAAAGUAUAGUUGACAAUAUGAAGAAGUAAACACAUAGUAGGAUAAACACAAAACAUUCAGGGAACCACCAAAUCAGUUAAUCACAUUAUACUUGAGAAAAUCAACGAAGCAGGACAUAAACAAGGAAACGCCUAUCUCAUGUGACUGUUACAAUUGUUACAAAAACCCUACAGCUACAAACUGGAACAAUUGCAGUUGUUACAAGAAGUUAAACUCGAGGAUAAGCACAGAAAAUUCUAGGAGAUCAGACAAGCAAAAAUUUCACAAAAACAAUUCAAGGAUAAGCACAAAAAAUUCACGGAACAGCAAGCAAAAAUCAUCAACCUGUACCAACUCCAUGACGUCAAACUAGAGGAUAGGCAUGAAUGCUCAGCUUUUUACAGAAAGCUUAAAGCAAUACAGAUCAAGGACGAGAUAAGAUAGAAAGGCUUAAGACAAUCAGAGUAGUUCAUCAGGCCAAACUCGAGACAAUCAACAAAGUUCAUGACCAAUUUCACCACCAAAUUAGUCCAGCACGCCAAACUUAAGGAGAUCAACAUGGCUUCAUGACCAAUUUCAGCACCAAAUCAGUUCAUCAUAUGCCAAAUUUGAGGAAAUCAACAGAAUUUCAUGACCAAUUUCACCACCAAAGCAAGUUCAUCAUAUGCCCAACUAGAGGAAACUAACAGAGUUCGCGACCAAGUUCAUCACCAGACCACUGCCUACUCGAUGUAAGACGAUCAACGAAGCAAAACAAGGAAGAAAAGACACCAAACAUGACCACAUCAACAAGGCGUCUCUCACACUCUCGCGCCGGCCAUCCUCCAUGAGCACUACUCGACCUUGACGUGGAAGACGUCCGUGCGGUCCUCCUCCUUGACCUUGAGCAGGGUGACCCAGAGCACGCCAUUCUUCAUCUCGGCAUUGAUCUUGUCCAUCUUGUACGCGUCAGCAGCGGGCACCUCGAUGCGGCGGUUGUACUUCGGCACCGCGGAGUCGUCGUCGUCGCCGUCCCAGGGCUGCUUCUCGCCCUCGCCCUUGAUCACCAGGAUGUUCUUGUCCGCCCGCACCUCCACGUGCUCCUUGGUCAGCCCCGGCAUCGGCACCUUGAGGUACACCGCGUCGUCGUCCUCCUUGGCCACCCAGCGUCCGAGCAGCGACGCCCCAGCCCCAGCAGCAGUGGAGGAGAGGCCGGCCUUCAUCAGAGACAGCAGACGGGCCAUGCUGGUCGGCGGGCCGAGCGAGUCGAUCACGUCUGCAGAAUCAGCACCAAGGAAACCAAAAGCAGAUCAGAAGGCUGAUUUGACUCACGGUGUUGACACUUCAGCACGAACGCAAAGAAACGGCGCGCCACUGGUAGGGAAGGGAAGCAUACCCUGCGAGAAGAAGCUGGGGGUGACGAGGUCGCGGGCGCUGUAGUCGUCGUCGUCGUCGUCGUAGCGGCUGACCUCCUUGGCCUUGGUGUUGUACGGGCGGCGGGCGGCGGUGACGGCGGGGGAGUCGACCGAGCGGAAGGCCACGGGAGCACCGGACUUGAGGAGGCUGGCCGGCGCGGCACNNNNNNNNNNNNNNNNNNNNNNNNNNNNNNNNNNNNNNNNNNNNNNNNNNNNNNNNNNNNNNNNNNNNNNNNNNNNNNNNNNNNNNNNNNNNNNNNNNNNNNNNNNNNNNNNNNNNNNNNNNNNNNNNNNNNNNNNNNNNNNNNNNNNNNNNNNNNNNNNNNNNNNNNNNNNNNNNNNNNNNNNNNNNNNNNNNNNNNNNNNNNNNNNNNNNNNNNNNNNNNNNNNNNNNNNNNNNNNNNNNNNNNNNNNNNNNNNNNNNNNNNNNNNNNNNNNNNNNNNNNNNNNNNNNNNNNNNNNNNNNNNNNNNNNNNNNNNNNNNNNNNNNNNNNNNNNNNNNNNNNNNNNNNNNNNNNNNNNNNNNNNNNNNNGGAGGUGGCUUUGUAAAGGAAGAGCGGGAGGGAUUUCUUGGGGGAGGGGAUGGGGAAACGGGUUUAGAAGGUUCUGGACAGAUCGGUUGGGCUAUCGAGCCUUCCAGAAAGAUCUGGAGGCCACAGCUUUGCGAUUCGUGCUGCUUGAUAUACGAUUAGGGCGACAUGGGUGGUGCUAACUUUUGAUCUGCUCAGCUACGUCGAGCACGACUGAUUUGCUUUUCAAAGUUGGACUAUUUUUGCAAAGAAUUCCUACCGUUUGGUGGACUCGGAUGGAAACAAUAGACAGCUCAAUUGCUUAUGCUAAUACAGUGUCAACCUAAUAACACUGUUUGAUUUGCUAAACUCUGCAUGUUCAGCUUAUACAAGGCACCUAAAUAACCAUACGAAAAUAAUAAAUACGAAGUAAUUGUACUAUAAAACCGUGUUGAGGCUACACAAUCCACCUUUGUAUAAUGACUCACAAAAUCCAAGGUUAUCCUCUCUUUUUUGAAAAUAAUAUUGCGAACGUCUGAUUUGUAACAAAUCCAAAUCCAGCGAACACUCUACCAUGCCACCUGAGGACACCUGAUCACAUGCACGGAUCUUAGCACAAGAAGCCCUGCCACAUCAGAUUUGAAAUUCGUAAGCAGGACAUAAAAGUUGCACGAACGCUCCUAACCAAGCAAAGACACCCACCGGAGACCUGUGAUUGAAUCCCAAAUCCUCCUUUUAUUUUAUUUUUUUACUUUUACAAGGGGGAGAAAAUAUGCACACACAAAAUUGGUACAUGGCAGUUUUUUUUAAAAAGAAUUGGCAGAUUUAUAUAUAAAAAAAGCUAACUUGCCACGUGGCAAAUUUGAAUACCUUUUCGUGAUGCUUCAGAUGUCAAUUUUGUUUUGUACACAUGGAAAAACUUAGAUAAAAAUUCUCAUGGUCCCAUGACAAAUUCAUAACAAUUUUUACUUCCAAACAUAGCAAUUUUAGUCUAUUUUUUUGUAAUGCUACACCAUGGCAAAGCUUUGAGAAUUUUUAUCGAUUAUUUUCAUGGCAAUUUUGGAAUUUGAUUUUCUAUUUUCGCACAUGCCAGUUUUAUUACUAAGAGGAUAGCAAUUUUAUUAUUUUAGAGCAUGGAAAUUUUAUUGUUGAGAGCAUGUCAAUAGUAUUUAUUUUUUGGAUCAUGACAACUUCCUGUGUGUGAUUUCUACGUGUUUUUGAAAAUGAAAAUAUAAAGCAUGGAAAGUUCACUGCGUAUGUCUUUCUAUUAAUUAAUAUGCAAAUUUGCCAUGCAUAAUGUUCUCUGUCUGCAAUUUGGACCACGAAUUUUUGUUAUUGUUUUUUUUAUAAUUUACUAUGGCCUUUUUGCCAUGUACCUAUUUUUCUGGUAUGCUACCAUAGCAUUUUUUUUUGUUGCACUUUGUAAAUUAUGUUGUCUAUGCCUUUUUCUAUAUAAGAACAUAUUCCAAUUUUGGUUGAUGGCAAUUUUUCUAAAAUUAUCAAAUAUUUGGCACAACCCUUUUUUCUGCACCAUAAUUAUCUAGCCAACUUGGGGGUCUCAUGGAAACACCCGUAUAUCGCUACUAAAUAGUUUGCUUGAUCAUCCCCGUCCCAUCGAACGAAUUGUUCGCUCGUGGGUGCCUUCCGUUUUGACGUCCACCAGAUAUUGUGGUACCUUUUUUAAGAAAACACCAAGUAUAUGUCUACCUUCGACCCCCCCCCCCCUUGGCUCACAUGGCCUCUGGUUCGACCAGCCCGGCGUCGGUUCUACAACCUUUUCACGUGAACAUCAGGUGGUCUCGGGUCUAGGCCUCUCAGAUUCACCUAGCUCCUCCCGCUCAUCCUUAGAAGGUGUUGCGUCACCUAGGGCGUCGAGCGCUACGGCACUAGCAGGAGGCUGGCUCGGUGGGGAGACGUUCAUCCGCUUCCUCCCAGGAGCGCAGGAAAAGUUACACCGAAACUUUUUGGCCUCUACUUCAAGUGCUUUCGGGAGGGGCAUAACGAGUUGGAUUGCACCUUUUAUCCCUAGUGCAUCAGUUGCGGCAUCGUCGGCCAUGAUUCGUCACAACGCAAGAGAUCUAGGACCAUGGUUCCUGAGGGGGAGAUCCGUUGGGCAACGUUAGCCAAGAUGUCUAGCGGUGCUCCUGCCUCACUGUCUAUCAGGCUCAUGGGCAGGGUUAUGUUGGAGCCUAAGCAGGAGGCACUGGUGGCGCUAUCCUCCCCAUUUGCGCCCAAGAUCCCUCCCAUGUGGACAUGGGAAUCUUCACUGGCAGGCCGGAGUGAGACCUAUAUCCUCCACCAGUCACCAGUGAUGGAUUGGACAUGGAGCAUGGACUUCGGCUCACCGUGUGGUUUAUGUGGUUGGUGCAAGGCCACCGGUCUCAUGCUCCAAGGCAGACGAGGUGAUUUUUGUUUGGCUGAACAUCCCUAGGAAUCAGUUCUCGGUUCAUUGUUUCCACCUGGAGGAUUUCUUGAUGGUGUUAGCCUCCCGGAGCUCCGCAAUGCGGCCAUUGGGGCAAACCCUAUUAAGCAUGCGGGGUUCAAGCUUUUGAUCAAACCAUUGUUGCAUCAAGCCCAAGCCACAUCCAACCUCUUGCGCCUUCAUGGCAAUUUCUAUGCAGCUCAACAUCCCUAGGCACCAUUUCUCAGUUUAUGAAUGCUACAAUUAAUUAUUUUCAACUCAACAUAGUCCUCUCCCGCAUAUCUAAGCUUUGUACACCAAAUUUAACCUUUUCCUAUUUAAAAUGAUUAUUUCUGUUGUUUAUUCUAAUAUUUGCCAUGUUGUGACAGGAAAAAGGCAUAUAGAAUGAAACUAUCAGCUUUUAGAUCAAGUUUUAUACACGUUUAGAUUGUAAAUUAGGCCACUCUCCUAAUCAAUAUUAAUGUUUCCUUUGAACUACUUGCAUUACUGAAACACUCACUAUCAAUUGAUUUUCCGCAUAUGCAUUGUACAAUGAAUGCCGGCAAUAAUUUUUUGAAAGAUGUGUUCAUGGGUGAUGUGCAGCUCCGCACAAGACUGUAUUCCAUGUGGCACUAUCCAUUCAUUGUUCAGUCUCGCUCUCUGAUAGCCAGGCAACCUCCUGAAGCAAUUAUAGCCAAUCAUCCAUACAAAAAAAAGUGUUCUCUCUUUCCCUGAUCAUUGGGAAGCCAUACAAGCAUUCAAAUAUGCAGGAAAAGGAGACUCUCCCUACGUGAAUGGUGUUGCAUAUCGCUUCACAAUUAAUCUUCUAUAAUCAAAUCUAAUAGAGAUAUGCAGUGAUCAAAGGGUUACAGUCUUUAUGAAAGGUCUUCCUCUGUAUAAAGCAUUGCAACGAGCUCGACCUAAAACCCAUUGUCAUUUCUUCUCUCAUCUUAAAAUAGAAAACAACAUAUAUGCACGCACAGGCUUCAGCACGGGCGCGGCGUGCAAGUCUGAAACAUUUCAGCUAGGCUACAACUUAGACGACAAUCAACUUACCCUGUCGUGGUAUGGACUUGCCCUGCUCCCCCAAGACCAAGACAUUUUUGCUUCUAUGACCAAGAUCGACAAUGGAUGAGGAAAGUGCAUCGAUUUUUCGAGACUCAAGCCUAGUUCUUAGCCAUUGAUGUAGACAUCACUUAUGACGAGAAUUUUGACCGAUGGGCAAAUUGUUGUCGAUCAUAAUUCCUUACGACUCUUGUUCAUCUUUCGAUGCUUUGUUCUCCGAGCUCAGAAAGAUUCUGCUCCGAGCCCAAGAACGUCAAAUUUCGAGUUCGUAUGAAGAAUUGAUAGUCGUUUUACCAAAGAAGGACAGAUUGAAAGGUAGUGUUCUAAACGACCGCACGCGGUCGUUUUAGCGGUCAUUUGACAUGCACCCAACUCCUAAAGUUGCCCUUCCAUACGGGAUUCUUCACCGAUUUUGUCCCCGUUCAAUCCCACGAGAUCCUUAACUCGUAAAGAAGAGAUUGGGAGAGGAUUUGGCUCAUUGAGAGCCCUUGUAUGAGGCCCAUCAAGAGAGGAGGCUAGGGAGGCUCCAUAUAUAUCAUCUACGACCUAAGCCGCCGUCUCUUUCUUGGAUUCCAUCACAUCUCAUUCAUCCACAAGCCAUCUCCAUUCCUGCUCCACACCUAAGAAGAAGGGACAACAAACAAGGGAAGAAGGAGGAGGCUCCACCACCAUGAGCAUCGGCCAUCAGGUCUGUGCCCUCGCGUCGGCACCACCACCAUAGUUGGCGCCCCCGUCUCCAUCAUCCCAGGCGCGACCAUCACCAUCACCAUCAUCAUCAUCAUUGCGCCUUCGUCAUCACCACCAUUCCUUCUCCCUUCACCGGCUUGUAACUUUCCCCUAACCUUCAUGUGUUUGAUUAAGUAGUUGUACUAGUUCUUGAGGAUAUGGUUGAACCCUUUAUGAUAUUUGUUGUGAUCGAAUAUUAGUUGUUCACAAUUCAAGUUAGUGGCCUUCACCACUGUUGAGAGGAGAACGUUUGUGCCUUUGUGUCGUGAAGUAUCUUAUAGUCCUUGUGAUAGUUGGGGAUAUUGGGGUAAUUUGAGGUGACAGUAAAAGCCUCGGUUCCUCGCCUUUGCAAAGUAUUGGGGAAUUACGGAGAACCCUUAGAGAGACCAUGUCCACGGGGCAACCCUUAAUUAUCAUUAGUUGUAACCUUAUGGGGGAGACCAUGAUGGUGGCGUGCGUGGCACGAAGUCUACCUCGAGUAGAACGUGUUAUGUACCCGGCUCCGCCCACUUAUGCAUUUGAUCAGUUACUAGAGGAUAUAAUAGUUCAUAUGUGGUAGUGAUUCCAGAACCCUCGAGAACACCUUACUACUCAAGCAUUGUCCCUACUAACUUAGUGUCUUUUAUUUACUGUAUUUACUAUUCUUGUUAAUAAUUUAGUUAAUUAUUCUUUUUAUCUAGUUUUUCUAGCAACGAUAGAGUAGACUAUUUUCAAACUUCGGUUUGGGUACAUACAUGGCUACAUGAAAGUGACAACGUAGUUGCAGAGUUUGUGGUGUCUUCCUAUUUCCUCCACAUGGGCUCAACACUUAUCACAACAGAAGUGCUACAACAGCUAUGUGCACUUGCAGGCCAUCAAGCAUUUUCUGGCGCCGUUGCCGGGGAGCAUAACGCUUGGUCAUUACUUACCCACUCGCACUUAGUUUAUUUCUGUUUGUUGCUAUUUAUCUUACCGUUUUCCCCCUUAACCCAAAAAUAGAAAAAAAAUAUAUGUCUUGCUUUGAGAUGUGGGACGAAGACAUAGAGGCUGCAAUGGAACGACACUAUGAAACAAAGAGGAUACUACAAGAAUAUUGGAAUACUAACAAAGGUAAGGAAAUGGGUGAGAAAUUUAUGAAACUAGACAUUAUAGCUAAUGAUAUCCGUAAAGGUUGCAUACAGUGCCAAUCUAUUUUCCACAUGAGUUUUUGUUGUAGAGAUCACCCACAUCCGGUUGUGAGAGCAUACAACCGUGAUGAAUAUCCUCCUGAAGAUAUUGAGGUAAUUGGGGAGAUGAUGUUAUUGAUUAGAUCAUUUGAGCUUUUAAAGUGGAUUGACAAGUUUCUCAAAGAAUAUACUUCAGUGACUAAGCAUGAAGACUUUGUGGGGCAGGUUUAUAAAUUUUGUUUAGAUUAUAAUUUUGAUGAAAAUUCUUUAGUUAUGAACUAUGAGAAGCGGAUGUCCGCCAUCUCCCAAGUCAAUAUUUCGUAGGAAAUAACCUUAUGCAGGAACAUGAAGAAAUUAUCAUCGAGCCACAAGAAAAAAAUGUUCAGAAAAUGAUGAUCCAGAGGAUCAUGGAGGGGAAGGACGGAACAACUGUUGUCCAGAAACCCCCACCAAUUGUAAUUGUUUUGACAUAAUUAAUGCGCAGCUUGAUGAGAUGAAGGCUAUGACUUACCUGCAGCUCCUCAUCCUAUUGAUUAUAAAGUUAUUGUGAAGUUGCAACCGCUAAUUUUUCAGACAUCUCCAACUAGCUUGGUGCAUCGGUACUCGCCCAAGAGUGAGUAUGAAUUUACAUAUAUGAUGCCAAUGCACCGUACGAGCGAGUGUACCUUCGACCAAGCUCUGCUAUGAGGUGCUCCAAACCCCGGAUGGAGGUAGGCAUCCAACUCGGGGUUGAUAUCCCUUGGGAUUCGGGUGGAUGACCUUACGGAGCACUGAAGCCUAGCUAUAUGGCUUUAAAGAAAGCACUACCCGGGAGGCUGGGAGGCAAUCUGGAAGUUUGUAGGUGUCUUUCGUAGGUUUGUGUCUUGAGUCUAGAUGGAUUCAUGAUUGCAUUGACACUUUUUUUUUAUUUUGAGUAGUUGCUAUUUGAGUUGGUUUCAUGUGGUUUUCGUAAGUAAAAUUUAUACCAUAUUGGUGGGCUGCAUUUUGUUGCACAUAUGCUCUUAUUUUAUUGCAAUAUUGAUAUUUGCCUAACGCGAGGAGGAAGCACAAAAUUUUUAUGCAGUUUUGCUCCAGGAGAAAAGACGAUGUUCCAUACGACCGCCCCAGUCGUCUGAGCUCAUGGCCACAAGUAAAAGAGGAUCGGAGCAAAAGAAAGCCUAGCGCUCGUACGAGCGGUCGUUUCACCUGGCGACCACAACGAGUGUCUCCACAAAGCGAACGACGACGUUCCAUAUGACCGUAACUGGUCGUUUGAGCACCCAUAUGAAGUCAAAAAUACCUCCAAUUAAUUAUUUUUCGAUGUUCCAGGCCGGCGGGGUAUUUUCUAACCGGCUAUUUGCUUUUUAAUUACUGUUAAUUACCUCUGAAACUUCGUAGCCAAUAAUUCUCUAUAGCAACUAUGUUUUCUUUUCUUUCUUUUUGCCAGUUAUUCGUUCGUAUACCGAAUCGAUGUUUUUAUUUGUGUGUUAUUCGACGGGGUAUCUUCUUCCUCCUUUUGUUAUCUAUACUUGUAGCUACAAAAGUCUAUGUUUCCAUUCAAAUUUAGCAAUUUUUUUCUGAAGGACAUAUAGGAGGACAAAGAUAGUAGAUCAUCCACAGAUCCCCUUUUGUGGCUGCUAAUAGUCGCUCCUUCUUUGCACUUUUCUCUGCAGUUCCUCCUUUGUAAUAAACACACACACACACACACACACACACACACACACACACACACACACACACACACACACACACACACACAUAUAUAUAUAUAUAUAUAUAUAUAUAUAUAUAUAUAUAUAUCUUUUUUCUUCCACAUGUUGUGUACAAUAAACACAAGUAUAGCAUUUAAAUGCCGAUCAGCAGGUCCAACAAGAAAAUCACUAAGGUAUACAGCCUCUCAGCUGCUCAAUCCUCUGAAUAAAUAAAUAGAAAUGGGUGACAAAAUUGGCAAAUCCCACAUGAAAUUUUCAGAUCCUAAAUUAAGCCACUCUCUUUAUAAAUGCUAAAGCUUUCUGCAUGUUUAGCUUGAGCAUAGGUAAGUAAACGAAAUUACCUUUCCAUGAAUGCUAAUAUGCAACAAAUUUUGGUCUACAGCAAUCCAUGAAUGCUACAAUUAAUUAUUUUCAACUCAACAUAGUCCUCUCCUGCAUAUGCAAGCUUUGUACACCAAAUUUAAUUGUUUUCUAUUUAAAAUGAUUAUUUCUGUUGUUUGUUCUAAUAUUUGCCAUGUUGUGACGGGAAAAAGGCAUAUAGAACAAAAGUAACCACUUUUAGAUCAACUUUUAUACACGUCUAGAUCAUAAAUUAGGCCACUGUCCUAAUCAAUAUUAAUGUUUCCUUUGAACUACUUGCAUUACUGAAACACUCACUAUCAAUUGAUUUUUCGCGUAUGCAUUGUACAAUGAAUGCCAGCAAUAAUUUUUUGAAAGAUGUGUUCAUGGGUGAUGCCCAGCUCCGCACAAGACUAUGUGCCAUGUGGCACUAUCCAUUCAUUGUUCAGUCUCGCUCUCUGAUAGCCACGCAACCUCCUGAAGCAAUCAUAGCCAAUCAUCCAUACAAAAAAAGUGUUCUAUGUUUUCCUGAUCAUUGGGAAGCCGUACAAGCAUUCAAAUAUGCAGGAAAAGGAGACUCUCCCUAUGUGAAUGGUGUUGCAUAUCACUUCACAAUUAAUCUUCUACAGUCAAAUCUAAUAGAGAUAUGCAAUGAUCAAAGGGUUACAGUCUUUAUGAAAGGUCUUUCUCUGUAUAAAGCAUUGCAACGAGCUCGAUGUAAAACCCAUUGUCAUUUCUUCUCUCAUCUUAAAAUAAAAAACAACAUAUAUGCACGCACAUGCUUCAGCAUGGGCACGGCGUGCAAGUCUGAAUCAUUUCAGCUAGGCUACAACUUAGACGACAGUCAACUUACCCUGUCGUGGCAUGGAGUUGCCCCGCUCCCCCAAGACCAAGACAUUUUUGCUUCUGUGACCAAGAUCGACAAUGGAUGAGGAAAGCACAUCGAUUUUUCGAGACUCGUGGAACGGGACCGAGUCGCCCCGCCGUCUCUGGCCAAAGCUAUUCACCAUAUCUCGUUGGAAGAAUUGCACACUUUGGGAUACCAUCCAGGACGAUGCCUUGAUUCGUCACCGCUAAGGCCGGCCCCCUCCACCCUUCUGCAGGACUUCAUCGACCUUGGUCACAGCUUGUGGAACUUCACUACCUCCUUGGCCUACAGACGACAGUUCAUGGAUUUGGCACCCUCGCCAUUGCGGUUUGUUGGGAAGACCCCUCUCCCCAAAUGUCGCUUCUUCAUGUGGUUGCGGCUCCACCGUCGGCUGUCCAAGACCUAGCAAGAGUUUGCAGCGGCUACUUGAUGCCCGAACAUCACCCCAGUUGCUUGGGUUCGCUCGAUGGAACUGGCCGAUGCGACCCCGAAUGGGCGUUCAACCUCCUCCAGGUUCAUCGCCUCUGGAAUCGCCAUGCCUCCAUGGGAGAUCUAGCGUGAGCAUAAUUGUAUAUUUUUUCCAGUUCCUGUCACGCCCUCUCUCAGCGAUCAUCUGGUAAAUCAUGUACAGUAAAACCCGCUGCUGGACUUCAAUCUAAUAGAAAAGGGGAAAAAAUGCAGCGCCGAAAGCCAAAGAUAAAACCAAUUGCUUUUCGUUGUGCAUACUGCAAUUCUAUUUUGUAUGUCACCAAGAAAAUCACAAAGCAUGAGACAAACAAUCUAUUCCGAUUGUGUUUGUCACCAAGAAGAUCACAAAGCAUGAGAUAAACAAACGGCCAUCUCAUAUGGCUGCUCGCAAGAAUACUAUACCUACAGACUGAAACAGCAAGCAACAAGAAUGAGUAACUGCCCAUUCACCACUAAUUCAGUUCAUCACGUCGAACUGAGGAAAUCAACAGAGUUGUUGACCAAUUUCGUCGUGCAUACUGAAAUUCCGUUACUGUGCACACAAAAACGCUACAAGCACAAACACGAAUAGUUACUCUUCGGACAAAGUAAAACAGAGGAUAAAUACCACGGGACACCAAGCAAAAAUCAUUAACCCGUAACUGCCCGUUCACCAACUCCAUGACGUCAAACUCGAGGAGAUCAGUCAAAGUUUCAGAGAGUAGGCAUGAAUGCCCAGCUUUUUCAGAAAGCUUAAAGCAAUACAGAUCAAGAACGAGAAAAGAUAGACAGGCGAGAUCAAACUUGAUACAAUCAACACCGUUCAUGAUCAAUUUCACCACUAAUUUAGUCCAGCACGCCAAACUUAAGGAGAUCAACACGGCUUCAUGGCCAAUUUCACCACCAAAUCAGUUCAUCAUAUGCCAAACUUGAGGAAACUAAAAAGUUGCAGCGCCAAAAGCCAAAGAUAAAACCAUUUGCUGGGACUGAACUAAGGAUAGAAGAGUAAAAGUGCCAAUUUCUUGUGUGUAUUGCCUCUUGCUUUUUCUUCGUGCAUACUCUGUUUUUAACACCACGGAAUAUGUCAUGUCUUAUAUAGCUGUCCACAUAACAACGCCACAACCACAAACACAAACAGUUACUGUUACUGUUCUGACAAAGUAACACAGAAGAUCAACACCACGGAACAAGCAACACAUUCACCACAAAUCAAAUAAUCACGUCACACUUCAGGAAAUCAACAAGUUCUUGACCAUUUCUAAAAAAUAAGCUCAGGACCAGUUUCACUACCAAAUCAGUUCAUUACCUCAAACUAGAGGAAAUCAACAAAGUUUAAUCACGAAUUUUCACCAGCAAAGUAGUUCAUCAUACGCUUUUAUUCUUUUUGGAAAAUCGACAGAGUUAAGGAUCAACUUCUCCACCAAAAGUAGAGUUGAUAAUAUGAAGAAGUAAACACAUACUGUAGGAUAAAUACAAAACAUUCAGGAACCACCAAAACAAAGAAACGCCUAUCUCAUGUGUCUGUUCACGCAAGAACCCGUAAGCACAAACUGGAACAGAUGCUGUUCUUGCACGAAGUUAAACUCAAGGAUAACCACAAAGUAAUCACGGAAUAGCAAGCAAAAAUCAUCAACCCGUAACUGCCCGUUCACCAACUCCGUGACGUCAAACUCGAGGAAAUCAGUCAAAUUUUCAGAGAGGUUGCAUGAAUGCCCAGCUUUUUACAGAAAGCUUAAAGCAAUGCAGAUCAAGAACGAGGAAAGAUAAACAGGGGAAAAUAGCUGAAGACAAUCAAAGUAGUUCACCAGCUCCAUGUCGUCAAAAAUCGAGGAGAUCAAUCAAUUUUUUCAGAGAAUGCCCAGCUUUUUACAGAAAGUUUAAAGCAAUAAGUACAGAUGAAGAACGAGGAAAGAUAUAGAGGCAAGACUAGCUUAAGACAAUCAAAGCAGUUCAUCAGGCAAAACUUGAAAAGUUCUUGACCAAUUUCACCACCAAAUUAGUCCAGCACGCCAAAUUUAAGGAGAUCAACAUGUUUUCAUGACCAAUUUCAGCACCAAAUGAGUUCAUCAUAUGCCAAAUUUGAGGAAAUCAACAGAAUUUCAUGACCAAUUUCACCACCAAAUCAGUUCAUCAUAUGCCAAACUUGAGGAAACUAUCAGAGUUCGCGGCCAACUUCACCUACUCGAUGCAAGACGAUCAACGAAGCAAAACAAGGAAGAAAGACACCAAACAUGACCACAUAAACAGGGCAUCUCUCACACUCUCGCGCCGGCCAUCCUCCAUGAGCACUACCACAUCCACAAGGACUAC